rnacentral:misc_RNA from 1 species
UCUCCGUAGGUGAACCUGCGGAGGGAUCAUUUCUGAGUGAGGGUUUCCGGGCCCGACCUCCAACCCCAUGUGAACCGAAACCUGUUGCUUCGGGGGCGACCCUGCCUUCCGGCGCGGCGCCCCCGGAGACUCAUCAAACACUGCAUCUCUGCGUCGGAGUCUUAAUGAAUUUAAACAAAACUUUUAACAACGGAUCUCUUGGUUCUGGCAUCGAUGAAGAACGCAGC